UACAGAGGGUGCGAGCGUUGUCCGGAAUCACUGGGCGUAAAGGGCGCGUAGGUGGCCUGAUAAGUACGGGGUGAAACCCUGCAGCUUAACUGCAGGACGGCCUCGUAGACUGUCCGGCUUGAGCAUGGUAGAGGCUGGUGGAAUUCCCGGUGUAGCGGUGGAAUGCGUAGAGAUCGGGAAGAACAUCGGUGGCGAAGGCGGCCAGCUGGGCCAUUGCUGACACUGAGGCGCGACAGCGUGGGGAGCAAACAGG
rnacentral:rRNA from 1 species